AGGUUAAAUAAAGCAAAAUGUUUAAGAACACGGAAUAUAGAACAAGACUCUCUGAAUUUAAAUCCCAAUUUCAGGACUCAUCUGAGUAACUUUGGGCAAAUUGCUCAACCACAUAGGCCUUAAGUGACUUGUCAUAAGUAAAGUGCCUAGCCUAACAUUAAUUUUUAUGAUUAUAAAAGUCCUGGGAAAAGUUGACAUACUGAUUAUCUUUAGAUAUUAACAAAGUAUGAGUUAAAAUUUAAGGGCAACUCCUUCUUCUUUUUUUUUUUUUUUUUUUUUGCUUUUUAGGGGCGCAUACAUGGCAUAUGGAAGUGCCCAGUAUAGGGGUCCAAUUGGAGCUGCAGUUGCUGGCCUACACCACAGCACAGCAACAGGGGAUCCAUGCCAUGUCUGUGACCUACACCACGGCUCAUGGCAACGCUGGAUCCUUAACCCACUGAGUGAGGCCAGGGAUUGAAACCGCAUCCUCAUGGAUACUAGUUGGGUUUGUAACUCGCUUAGCCACAAUGGAAACUCCAGGGCAAUCUCUGAAAGUAUAGAAGUAAUGGUUAACAUCUAGACAAUACAAAAUAAGGUGGUAGACAUUUAUGUAAGAAAAAAGAUAUAACAGAAUCUGUUCAUUUGUGCAAAAGGAAUAUAUAAAGGAUAAAGCAUAAUUUAAAGAGAUUUGUAGGAAAGGGGUGCCAAAAUUUGGGGAAGGGAUGGAAAUAGAGUAAUAGGCAUGGGGAGGCAGUGAUACUUCUCUGAGUAUACCUUUUUAUUAGCUCUUUUUAGAACUAUAGUAACAUUUCACAUACUCUCAAAACUAAAUAAACAAAACCUAUCAGGAUGUCAGCAGGAAUCCAAAAUAAAAUACAAAUGGUUAUAGAUAAACCUGUUUUAUAGGUGAAUAUUACUAUAUUGAAAGGGAUAGGGGAGAAAAGAGCUAAUGUAAAUAACUUUAGAAUGCAAUUCUUUGACUGGAUACUGUAAAGAACCAUACACAAGACUAUAAUUUAUAUAGUGAGUUUGUUUUUCACAAGGUAUGGGUAAGCAGUUCUAAAACUAUAUGCAUACUAGGAUAGAACAAAUAAAUAUAGUGUACAUAAUAAGAGCAAGGCUUUUCACUGUUGGAGGAAGAAGGUAUAAAUGGCAGGUGGAAAUUAACCCUGUAAUGUUGGAUUGGAAUCAGAGGAAUCAGUAUGAACUCAAGACUUAGAUAGAUAGAUAGAUAGAGAGAGAGAGAGAGAGAGAGAGAGAGAGAGAGAGAGAGAGAGAGAGAGAGUUACGUUGUGCAGUAAUUUGACACAUCCAUUUGGGUAAUUGAUAAAUAAAAGAGAAAAAAUAAUCAAGUACAUGAGCUUUUCCAGUUGAUAAGAUUAAGUCUAAUGAUCAUGUAUAGGACCAUAAAUUCAAUGAUUAUAGAAUGCAUGCUUUUCUCAGGCACACAUAGGAGGUUGUAGAAAAUUAAACAUCAAGUAGGUCUCAAAAAUUUCAGAGAAUUGGUAAAAUACCAAAAAUAUUCUCUGACCAUAAUGCACUUAGGUUAUAAAAUAGCUGCAAAAAAUAACCAACUCUAUUGGUGGGAGUAUAAGUUGGUCCAAACAUUUUGGAAAAUUGUAUGGCCAUAUCAAUUAAAGCUGAACAUACACAUAAGUUAUGACCCAUCAGUUCCUUUCCUCUAACAGAAAUGCAUACAUAUGUUCAACAAAAAUUAUGUAUAAGAAUGAUCACGGCCACUAAUCAUAAUAGCCUGAAACUGGAAACUACCCAAAUGCCCAUCAACAGAAUGAAUAAAAAUACUGUGAAGUAUCCAGGAAAAUCCUAGGGGAAUAAAAAAGCAAUAAUUAGGGAGUACCUGUGGUGGUGUGGUGGGUUAGGAAUCUGACUGCAGCGACUUGGCUCACUGCAGAGGUCUGGUUUAGAUCCUUGGUCCAUUGCAGUGGGAUUAAAGGAUCUGUUGUUGCCACAGCUGCAGCUUGGAUUCAGUUCCUGGCCUGGGAACUUCCGUAUGCUCUGGGUGCAGCCAUUAAAAAUACGUAAAAACAAAAAAUAAAAUGGAAAGCGUUCCUCCCCAAAUUUGCUUCUUCUCAGAAUUAAAAAAAAAAGCAAUAGUGAGGAUAGAGUUGGUGCUACCCAAUAUUAAGACAUAUUAUAAAACUUUAUAAUUGAUACAUGAAUAAGCAGAUGAAUUAAUGUUCACAAAAUAGCAAGUUUCAAAAUAGAUCCAAGUAUAUAUGGAAGUAUAAUAUAUGAAGAAGCUUGUAUCUCAAAUCAGUCAGGAAAAAAUGGAUUUUUUAAUAAGCAGUAUUUGGACAACUGACUGGCAAUUUAGAUGAGGAAACUUGGAAUCCCAUCUUAUAACACACACUAGUAUAAGUUCCUAGUGGUCAAAGAUGUAAAUGUAAAAAACAAAAUCAUACAGAUGUGCUGUGUGUGUGUCUUAUUAUAUAUAUAGUUUAUAUAUAUAUUUAUAUGUAUAUACGGAGAGAGAGAAGACAAAUACUUCUCUAUAUAUCACCUAGGAGAUUCCAACUAAAGGACGUCACUCCUCAUCCAGCUUUACAAAGAUUGAGUCAUUAGCCACUGCAGUCAGUUGCUGACCUUCAACACACCGAGAUUUUUUCUUGGAAAACUGACAGAACAGGACUUCAGAUAGAUAUUUUCAAAAGAAAAUUUCAUGAACCCAGUUUCUUGCAUCUUCCCAAUAUUUACAAAAACAUUAAAAUCAUCUACUAAGAUAUCUGUGCCUCUUGACUUAAGAGUAACUUUCUACUAAGACAUGCAUUUGAUUACCUGUACCCCUUCUCCAAAAUCAC
rnacentral:lncRNA from 1 species